rnacentral:rRNA from 1 species
UAUAAUGCAAGUCGAACGCUUCUUUUUCCACCGGAGCUUGCUCCACCGGAAAAAGAGGAGUGGCGAACGGGUGAGUAACACGUGGGUAACCUGCCCAUCAGAAGGGGAUAACACUUGGAAACAGGUGCUAAUACCGUAUAACAAUCGAAACCGCAUGGUUUUGAUUUGAAAGGCGCUUUCGGGUGUCGCUGAUGGAUGGACCCGCGGUGCAUUAGCUAGUUGGUGAGGUAACGGCUCACCAAGGCGACGAUGCAUAGCCGACCUGAGAGGGUGAUCGGCCACAUUGGGACUGAGACACGGCCCAAACUCCUACGGGAGGCAGCAGUAGGGAAUCUUCGGCAAUGGACGAAAGUCUGACCGAGCAACGCCGCGUGAGUGAAGAAGGUUUUCGGAUUUAUUGGGCGUAAGCGAGCGCAGGCGGUUUCUUAAGUCUGAUGUGAAAGCCCCCGGCUCAACCGGGGAGGGUCAUUGGAAACUGGGAGACUUGAGUGCAGAAGAGGAGAGUGGAAUUCCAUGUGUAGCGGUGAAAUGCGUAGAUAUAUGGAGGAACACCAGUGGCGAAGGCGGCUCUCUGGUCUGUAACUGACGCUGAGGCUCGAAAGCGUGGGGAGCAAACAGGAUUAGAUACCCUGGUAGUCCACGCGGUAAACGAUGUGUGCUUAAGUGUUGGAGGGGUUUCCGCCCUUCAGUGAUGCAGAUAACGCAUUAAGCACUCCGCCUGGGGAGUACGACCGCAAGGUUGAAACUCAAAGGAAUUGACGGGGGGCCCGCACAAGCGGUGGAGCAUGUGGUUUAAUUGGAAGCAACGCGAAGAACCUUACCAGGUCUUGACAUCCUUUGACCACUCUAGAGAUAGAGCUUCCCCUUCGGGGGCAAAGUGACAGGUGGUGCAUGGUUGUCGUCAGCUCGUGUCGUGAGAUGUUGGGUUAAGUCCCGCAACGAGCGCAACCCUUAUUGUUAGUUGCCAUCAUUUAGUUGGGCACUCUAGCAAGACUGCCGGUGACAAACCGGAGGAAGGUGGGGAUGACGUCAAAUCAUCAUGCCCCUUAUGACCUGGGCUACACACGUGCUACAAUGGGAAGUACAACGAGUCGCAAAGUCGCGAGGCUAAGCUAAUCUCUUAAAGCUUCUCUCAGUUCGGAUUGUAGGCUGCAACU